rnacentral:lncRNA from 1 species
AUUUCAGUCGAAAUUAUUCAUAAAAUUAUAACAAUUUCAAUUAUUUGGUUAAUUUUUACAAAAGAAAUAAUGAAUGAAAAAGUUGUAAACUCUAAAUGAAAGUUUUUGCUUCCAACUUUGGGGUGAACAAUGCUUGGCAAUAUUUGUGUCUUCCACACAUAUCUUCGAAUUGUUUGUUGCAACAAUGUGCUCGUGUUGUCCAUUGACGUCACUCAAUAUAGGUCACGUGCCCCCAUGCGACUUUUGCUCCCUCUGACGGGUCAGUUUGAAAAGUCGGGUUUUUUUGAUGAUGAUGAUGAUGAUAAUGAUGAUCUUUACUUCGAAUCGGAUAUGUUAAAAUGGAUGUUGUUUACGUGACUAUUCCUAGAAAGGAUGAACAGACGCCAUGCAAAUGGAUUAAUUCUGUGAUUUGCAUUAGAAACGUUAUAUUUUAGAGAGAAAAGAUUUUUUUCUGCAAGUUUGAAUAUUUUAAUGGAAUUUCAUUUAAUCGGAUGAUUGUCCUCAUCUUGAUUCCGCCAUCUUGACUUAUAUCCAGAGAAAAUUGGAUUUUUAAAAUAUAAAACAUCAAAAUACAGGAAGCGAUUUGGUUUUAGAUAUCGGCCUAUAGAGGGUAAGGAUUAAAUUAUUAUAAAGGUGUCUAUUUUCGGGAAUUGAAAAUUGCCCUCAUUGUGAAACAAUAACUUUAAUUAAAUACACAUUAAUUAAAUAUUCAUCUAUCAGACAAUUUAGGAACAAAUUAAUUAAAACAUUUACACAUCUAUAUAUGUAUGAAUGAUUUUUUAAAAUAUCGAACACGUAUAUUAUUUGCGUAAAUGCCACCAUCACUAUGUACAGUUUGAAUAAGUUUAUUAUUCAUUUAAAAAAACUGAUAAUGAUUGAUUUAUAACAUAUAGUAGGAUUUAGAUAAUUUCUUUAAUACAUCCAGGUGUGGCUAAUCCAAUAUGGCUUCUAAAGACAUGAAUGCAAUCAAGUAUGGCUUAUUUCUUUCAUAUUGUUAAAAUACAGACUAUGUUUGAUACAGAUGCACAAUAUUAGAACUGUAUACUUGUUUAUUUGAAAAUGUCUAAAGUGAAUUUUUAAUAAAUAUCAGUUUAAAACCAUAAUACGUCAACCAAUUAAUUCUUAAUUGUCAAAC